CCUUCCGAGUUCCCUGGAACGGGACGCCAUAGAGGGUGAGAGCCCCGUCUGGUAGGAUACCCAGCCCGUGUGACGCUCCCUCGACGAGUCGAGUAGUUUGGGAAUGCUGCUCUAACGGGAGGUAUACUCCUUCCAAGGCUAAAUACCGGCUGGAGACCGAUAGCGCACAAGUAGAGUGAUCGAAAGAUGAAAAGCACUUUGAAAAGAGAGUCAAACAGCACGUGAAAUUGUUAAAAGGGAAGCGCUCGCUACCAGACUUGGGUUCGGCGGUUCAACCGGGGCCACG
rnacentral:rRNA from 1 species